rnacentral:rRNA from 1 species
CCAGCAGCUGCGGUAAUUCCAGCUCUAAUAGCGUAUAUUAAAGUUGUUGCAGUUAAAAAGCUCGUAGUCGGAUGUCGGGCUCGGGGAGGCUGUCGGCCUUUGGUCGGAUGGCAUGUCCGGGCCUUUCUGCCUGGGGAUCCUACUCCACUUAACUGUUCGGAGUAGGGAUUAGGCCGUUUACUUUGAAAAAAUUAGAGUGUUCAAAGCAGGCCAACGCUUGAAUACAUUAGCAUGGAAUAAUGGAAUAGGACUUUGGUGCUAUUUCGUUGGUUUAUGGGACCGAAGUAAUGAUUAAUAGGGACAGUUGGGGCCGUUUAUAUUCCGUUGUCAGAGGUGAAAUUCUUGGAUUUACGGAAGAUAAACUUCUGCGAAAGCAUUCGGCAAGGAUGUUUUCAUUGAUCAAGAACGAAAGU